GGAGAGGGAAGGAGAAGGGGCAUAUGUAUUUGCGAUGCAAAAUAGAAAAUGUGCGAUCAUACCAGCACUAGUUCACCGGAUCCCAUUAGAACUCUACAAUAAUACGUGCGGCAGGCGUUCUGUUCAUAUGGGCAUGAGUCGAGGCACUAGGGCAUUUUACUUGAUAUUAGAACUAUAAGCAGAGGUGAGGUGCACGCACAGCGAAACAAAUGACAAGAAUGGAGAGGGAAGGAGAAGGGGCAUAUGUAUUU
rnacentral:lncRNA from 1 species